GUACACUCCUGCGGGAGGCAGCAGUGGGGAAUUUUGAACAAUGGGCGAAAGCCUGAUCCAGCAAUGCCGCGUGAGUGAAGAAGGCCUUCGGGUUGUAAAGCUCUUUUGUCAGGGAAGAAACGGUGAGAGCUAAUAUCUUUUGCUAAUGACGGUACCUGAAGAAUAAGCACCGGCUAACUACGUGCCAGCAGCCGCGGUAAUACGUAGGGUGCAAGCGUUAAUCGGAAUUACUGGGCGUAAAGCGUGCGCAGGCGGUUUUGUAAGUCUGAUGUGAAAUCCCCGGGCUCAACCUGGGAAUUGCAUUGGAGACUGCAAGGCUAGAAUCUGGCAGAGGGGGGUAGAAUUCCACGUGUAGCAGUGAAAUGCGUAGAUAUGUGGAGGAACACCGGUGGCGAAGGCAGCCCCCUGGGUCAAGAUUGACGCUCAUGCACGAAAGCGUGGGGAGCAAACAGGAUUAGAAACCCGUGUAGUCCCA
rnacentral:rRNA from 1 species